rnacentral:rRNA from 1 species
CCUACGGGUGGCAGCAGUGGGGAAUAUUGCACAAUGGUGGAAACCCUGAUGCCUCUCCUCCUCUUUCUUGCCGCCUUCCUUCUUUCCUUCCCUCUCUCUCAGCAGGGAAGAAAAUGACGGUACCUGAGUAAGAAGCCCCGGCUAACGACGUGCCAGCAGCCGCGGUAACACGUAGGGGGCAAGCGUUAUCCGGAUUUACUGGGUGUAAAGGGAGCGUAGACGGUGCGCCAAGUCUGGAGUGAAAUGCCGCAGCUUAACUGCGGAACUGCUUUGGAAACUGGCGAACUAGAGUGGGGGAGGGGUCAGCGGAAUUCCUAGGGUGGCGGUGGAAUGCGUAGAUAUUAGGAGGGAAACCGGUGGCGAAGGCGGCUUACUGGAGCGUAACUGACGUUGAGGCUCGAAAGCGUGGGGAGCAGACAGGAUUAGAUACCCCUGGUAGUC